rnacentral:sRNA from 1 species
UAAGACGAUUUUUAACGGGUGCGACUC